rnacentral:rRNA from 1 species
UGGGGAAUAUUGCACAAUGGGCGCAAGCCUGAUGCAGCCAUGCCGCGUGUGUGAAGAAGGCCUUCGGGUUGUAAAGCACUUUCAGCGAGGAGGAAGGGUAGUGUGUUAAUAGCACAUUGCAUUGACGUUACUCGCAGAAGAAGCACCGGCUAACUCCGUGCCAGCAGCCGCGGUAAUACGGAGGGUGCAAGCGUUAAUCGGAAUUACUGGGCGUAAAGCGCACGCAGGCGGUUUGUUAAUUCAGAUGUGAAAGCCCCGCGCUUAACGUGGGAACUGCAUUUGAAACUGGCAAGCUAGAGUCUUGUAGAGGGGGGUAGAAUUCCAGGUGUAGCGGUGAAAUGCGUAGAGAUCUGGAGGAAUACCGGUGGCGAAGGCGGCCCCCUGGACAAAGACUGACGCUCAGGUGCGAAAGCGUGGGGAGCAAACA